rnacentral:rRNA from 1 species
GUUCAAGAGUACGUGAAACCGUUCAGGGGUAAACCUGAGAAACCCGAAAGGUCGAAUGGGGAAAUUCAUUCGCGUUUCGAUUGUCGGCGUUGAGCUGUUGUGUGACUGACGGGGUACGCUUCGUAAGCGCCUUCAGUUCUUCGAACCGACUUCGAACGCGUGCACUUUUCCCCUAGUAGGACGUCGCGAUCCGUUGGGCGUCGGUCUAAGGCCUGCGGUGGAGCUCGCGUGGACGUUUCGGCGUUCCGCACGAACCCGCAGUGUCCCGAUCGACUCGCUCGACGGUAUAAAGAUGGCGCGGGGCCGCUACACAGUUAGCGUUCGGCCUACGGCAAGCACGUACGGUGUUCGAUGGCGAUCAGACCUAGUCGGAUCCCGUCCCCGGACGACUGUUGGCACGUAGUGUUCUCGAACAGACCUCGUUGAAACGCCGAUCUGCGACGCUAUUGCUUUGGGUACUUUCAGGACCCGUCUUGAAACACGGA